GAGUUAAAUUGCUUUUAAUUCUUGCUGUUGAUCAGUGACGCUGAUAGGCACCGGAAGCCUCGCAUUUAGGGUUUCUUUUAUGUUACAGAUUUUUGAAAUUCUGAAAAUUCCUUUUGGGAGACCUCAGGGAUUUGCAUUUUACGCACCUUUGGGAAACCCACUGCCACGUCACUUCGUGCUUCCCACGUUAUCUUUUACACAUCAUCCAGUGAAAACAGCACUGGAAUCUCCAUUACAAAUGCUGAGCAUCCAGGAGAGUUUCUAGAUAUAUAUAUAUUAUAUAUAUUAUAUAUAUUAUAUAUAUUAUAUAUAUUAUAUAUAUUUAAACCCUUCUCCUCCUCCAAAGGAACUGUUAAUGACUUUCAGUCUGUGAGCUCCAUUUUGCUGGUCAUAAACUUCCUUUAUGAUGGUGAGCAGCACUGUUUUUGUUUACUUGGGAGAAACUGCAGCAGAGGGACAGAAAUGGGGAAUGAUUCAUCCGGGUUCUGUCAGUGAUGUGGUUACUGUGCCUUGUUGUUUCCUAACGGCUCGAACCUUACUGGUGUAAAGCUUGGCUCAGAGGUGUGACCUCAAGGAGUGUGUCCUUGUGCAGUAUUAAAAAACAACAAAUACUUUGAGUAAAACAAACAAAAAAACCCCUCAACUUCACAUUGAGCUCUUUCUCCUCCGUUGUCUUGAAAGGAGACGCUGACAUUUUUUCAUUUCCCCAGCCUCUCCUUUGGCUCUGGUGGUUUGGUUGGACAGCCUGCUAAACUUGUUCAACAGCUGUGAGAAGCUCUAGCAGCCAGACGAGGACCAGAAGUACAUAAGCUGACUGUCAUUAUUCAGGAACAAAACAAUUACAAUGUAGCAUCUGUGGAAGGAAAGCAGUUCCCUAAGCAUGCUAUAUAAUUUCAUCUAUCAAUUACUGGAGUCUCAGAUAAGGAUUCCUAUGGAAGCAGGAUCACUGUAAGAACCUACGAUGUAAGACAUCACGUGACUACAGAAAACUCCCGCCCCGUAACUCCUAGCCACUAAUUGACAGAAAUAAAGUUCUAGCAAAGAAAACAGCACAACUGCUGAUGCUUAAAAAUAUUUUGAGCUUCUAUGUCUGCUGUAACUGAAGCCCAACUGUGCUGCUACAAAGUUCAGCUUCACGCUGGGACAAGCAGCUGCUCUCUAGACGGCUAGACAAAAAAAAUCAAUUGACUUCAUUUGUAACUCGAACAAAGGUGCCUUUUGCAAGAAACACAGGUUUAUCUGCAUCACUUUGGCCACAACAAGGGAAUACUUGUGAACAUCUUCUGCCCCUACCAUUCCAUCAUGUCCAGAGCACACUGCUCUGAACUUUUUUGAUUUCUUCCCCAUGAAGGCAUGGACUGUGUUCAGAUAUGACUAAGAAUGACGUGUAUCGCUCAGAAUGGAGGCAUACAAACGUGACGAGUCAGUUCAUCACACAAUGCUUAACUUACGAGCUAACUCACUUUGUAAUAAUGCUUCACUUGUUUUAGUGUUCAUGAAAGUGAGCACAGUGCUGCAAGCAAUGAAAUAAAGGCUCUAAACU
rnacentral:lncRNA from 7 species